rnacentral:rRNA from 1 species
AUUGAACGCUGGCGGCAUGCUUUACACAUGCAAGUCGAACGGAAACAUGGAGAAGCUUGCUUCUCUGAUGUCGAGUGGCGAACGGGUGAGUAAUACAUCGGAACAUGUCCUUUUGUGGGGGAUAACUACUCGAAAGAGUAGCUAAUACCGCAUAAGACCUAAGGGUGAAAGCGGGGGCUCUUCGGACCUUCGCGCAGAUGGAGUGGCCGAUGACUGAUUAGAUAGUUGGUGAGGUAACGGGCUCACCAAGUCGACGAUCAGUAGCCGGACUGAGAGGUUGAACGGCCACAUUGGGACUGAGACACGGCCCAGACUCCUACGGGAGGCAGCAGUGGGGAAUAUUGCACAAUGGAGGAAACUCUGAUGCAGCGAUGCCGCGUGAGGGAAGAAGGUUUCGGAUUGUAAACCUCUGUCUUCAGGGACGAUAAUGACGGUACCUGAGGAGGAAGCUCCGGCUAACUACGUG